CCAAGAAUCGGUUACUCAAUCGACUGAGCCACGCAGGAGCCCUAUGUUAACUGUUAUUUUUAAAGUAAAUACAGGGUAUUUUGUUAAGAUGAUGAUAUGUGCAUCUAUAAAGGAUGAGUAUGUUCCCAUUUUAGAAGAUGUCAGGGUUACCACUUUUUCUUUCUUCACCCUUUUGCUUAGUUCCAGGUAUUUGAUUUACAGAAACAGCCAGAUCUGCAGUUUGCCCAUCAUUUUCUGGUCUCUGAAAAGGGUAACAACCCAAGUUUUUGGCCUGUUCUUCAAGCCCUCUCACCUGCCUCUGUCUCCUAACAAAUAAUUCUUAUCUUCUCCAAAUAUAUGAGUUUAUAAUUACUCUGAAAGGAACUAUAAUCAAAGAGUCAAACUUGAGUAUAAAAACUACCCAGGAUCCAAGACCAACCCUCUCUCUAAGAUGGAAACUUUAGGUGUAAAAAGCAGUAACAGGAGGUACCAGGAACUACAUUCAGCACCAAUCUACUUCCUUUGUACACUUACUGCUGGGUCUUACUCAAGAAAAAGACUGAAAUCAAAUAUAUAAUUCCAUCCUCUUGAAGGCCUUGAGUGAAAAGAGGGAAAGGCUAAGCAGCAUGACUAUUUUUAGGGAUAGGGUGUCUGGGAAGAAAUCAAGGUGAUUUUCUGGCUGAGAAACAGAAUGGUUCCUGGAGGCACACCCUUUUACCUAAAAAAAGCAGCUGACUUCCAGCCAAAGCCUUGGAAACAAGUGAGGCCGGUGCUUGAAAGAUGAACCACACCUGACAAAGCUGGAGCUUGGUGGAUUCACAACCUGCCCUAGAAGACCAUCCAGUUGCAAGGAACAGUGGUUAAUAAUUAUUGAGCACAAACUAGCACUUGAGGACUCUGGCAAGCAUUUAUAGAAAUUAAUUAAAUGCUUACACCAACCAUAUCAUCGUGUUGCUAUUGUACAGUAUAUACAUUUUAAAGCUGAGAAACUUGAAGCAUUCAUAGCUUUAUCCAAAUUUACCCUGGGUGGUCUGGGUCCACUUUUAACCACUAAUCCACAUCACCUCUCUAGUAAUUUUCUAUGAACUUUUUGUGAACAUUUCACCACUGUCUAAAUAAAGAUGGAAGAAAAAAAACAACAACAACCAACAACUGAGGUUUCGUACAGCCAAAAGAGAAGGGUUUUUGUUUGUUUUACUUAAGUUUGUAGUGGUGGAACUUUCUGGGUUGAUAACAAAGCUCAACACUGCCAUGUUAUUUCACCAUCUGGAAAUGUGCCUCAGCUUGUCCUUCCCUCAGAGUGCCUGGUCAGCACAGAAGAUCUAUCAGUGUCUGCAGAAGGGGAAAGUUCCCACUCUUCAAGAGUUGUGUCAGGGAAAGAGUGAUUCAGAAGAUACUGGGAGGCACAUAGAGAAAUGCAAAAACAGGUAGAAUUGAGUAGAGGAAACUAGUGCUUUAAACAAACGCAGAAAAAAAUCCUGGAAUCCAUCUAGGAGUCGCUGUGAAGCCGUGGUCAGCAAAGGAGCACAUUGUGAUGGUUCAAGUCAGUGAAGAGGGCUGGCCUCAAGUUUUCUCUCUCCACCCAGAGAGACCUUUUUCUGGGUAUCAGGGUGGUACAAUCAGUUUGGAGUCUUCCACCCACCUGACGACUAUUCUCGAAUUCUACGGCUGAGAACCGUGUCUGGAGACAGCUUAGCCAAAUAUCAAGUCACUGGCGUCACCUGGGAGUCUGUUUCUUCUACCAGACAUCAAUUCGAAAACAAACAGUGUGAUCAAGAUAAAGGCCUGGAGCAGCAUUCUGUUUCUCUUUCUCUUCUUUUUCUCAGAGAGCUAUCACCACCUCUCAGUGGACAGGCUUAAAGGAACUUAACUGGCUCACAGAAAAUUGAUGAGCUGAGCUGAGCAGGUGUACAGGAAAGCUUUGCGCUGCAGGGUUAGGCAAUGGAAAAAGUGUGAAGCACUUAUGUCCAUGACCAGAUCGAGUGAUAAGAGGACCGGCUUCCUUUGCUAUCUAAUUAAUUGUCUUUCUUUUCAAAACACGGUCUUUGAUUUCAAGAAGCACCUGAAGAAGCAUAACCUCUUGGCGGCUCCACUUCUGUUCUUCGAAUGGUCAUCUUUUGCUCCAGAAAAGGAAUAUGAGGAAUCGAGAAUGACAAUCAUGAAGGCCAACUACAUUCGAGAUCUCCUGUUUUCCUGCUCAGUUCACUCAUGCUCCCAGAGGGUGGCAAUUUUGUCCUCUUUAUCUGUGUAUUCUUCAUACCACUAUUGCUCACUAAGUGAUGCCUAGAACACAAAUCCUAUGAUAGCUAUCACAUUGAGAAAGGUGCUGUGAACCUAGAAUUUCUUGAAAAAGGCUCUCUUCACAACAUGUAGAAUUUCGUCGCCAUGCACAUCCAAGUGAAAUAAGGUAAAGGUAAAAUUAGAACCUUUCCUAGGUCUUUCCAAUAAUUAUCCUACACAGGGGAAUAGUAUUGUCACAAGAUUCUCUGCCUAAAUUUCAAAACAUCACAUAGCUUAUUAAAAAAGAGAUGUUAAUUUUAUCAGAUAAAAUAUGAAACAUGAUUUUUUUUAAGGAAUCUGUUACAGUUUGGACAUAAUAAAUUAUUUUGGAGAAACAAAGCAAAACAAAUGGGGGAAAAGGCAGUUGCAUUUUUGGAGACUGUCACAA